rnacentral:misc_RNA from 1 species
GAUGAAGAACGCAGCGAAAUGCGAUAAGUAAUGUGAAUUGCAGAAUUCAGUGAAUCAUCGAAUCUUUGAACUCACCUUGCGCCCUUUGGCUAUUCCGAAGGGCAUGCCUGUUUGAGUAUCGUGAACACCUCAACUCUCAUGGUUUGCCAUGAUGAGCUUGGACUUUGGGGGUUUUGCUGGCCUUUGGUCGGCUCCUCUCAAACGGAUCAGCUUUCCAGUGUUUGGUGGCGUCACGGGUGUGAUAACUAUCUACGCCUGUGGUUUUCUGCCAGAUAACCUUCAGCGAUGGAGGUUCGCUGGGGCUCAUAAAUGUCUCUCUUCAGUGGAGACAGCUUUUUGGACGUUUGAUCUCAAAUCAGGUAGGACUACCCGCUGAACUUAAGCAUAUCAAUAAGCGGAGGA